GUGCUCACUUUGGCAGCACAGAUACUAAAAUUGAAAUGAUACAGAGGAUUAGGACGGCCCCUACACAAGACUGGCACGCACACUCGUGAAGCCGUCCAUAAUUUU